AGUGAACGCUGGCGGCAUGCCUAACACAUGCAAGUCGAACGGCAAGAUCGUAAGCUUUUGCCUUUACCGUUGGCGGCUGGCGGGUGGGUCACGAAUACAUCGCCAUCUUCUUUUUCUGGGGUGAUAACGUGAGGCAGCAUACGCUACUACCUCAUAUAUCCAACCGCUUGAUUCAAUAGUUAUUUGCGCUUUUGCCGUUUCUUUUAGCUGAUGUCGGAUUAGCUAGUUGGUGGGGUAAAGGCCCACCAAGCCAACGAUACGUAGCUGAGCUGAGAGGAUGAUCGGCCACACUGGAACUGAGACACGGUCCAGACUCCUACGGGAGGCAGCAGUGGGGAAUCUUGGGCAAUGGGCGAAAGCCUGAUCCAGCAAUACCGCGUGAGUGAAGAAGGCCUUCGGGUCGUAAAGCCCUGUUGUUGGGGAAGAACAACUGUAGAAGUAUCCACGGAUGUUCUGACGGUACCUAAAGAAUAAGCACCGGCUAACUACGUG
rnacentral:rRNA from 1 species